rnacentral:rRNA from 1 species
GACAGAGGGUGCAAACGUUGUUCGGAAUUACUGGGCGUAAAGCGAGUGUAGGCGGUCUGCUAAGUCGGGUGUGAAAGCCCCGGGCUCAACCCGGGAAGUGCACUCGAAACUGGUAGGCUAGAGUAUCGGAGAGGUUGGUGGAAUUCUCGGUGUAGAGGUGAAAUUCGUAGAUAUCGAGAGGAACACCGGUGGCGAAGGCGGCCAACUGGACGAAUACUGACGCUGAGGAGCGAAAGCGUGGGGAGCGAACAGG